rnacentral:rRNA from 1 species
AGCAGCCGCGGUAAUUCCAGCUCCAAUAGCGUAUAUUAAAGUUGUUGCAGUUAAAAAGCUCGUAGUUGAAUUUUAGGCUUGGCCGGGCGGUCCGUCUUUGGCGAGUACUGUUCUGUGUCGGGUCUUUCUUUCUGGUUAACCGGUGUGCUCUUUAUUGAGCGUGCCGUGGGAGCCAGGACCAUUACCUUGAAAAAAUUAGAGUGUUUAAAGCGGGCAUUUGCUUGAAUAGAUUAGCAUGGAAUAAUAAAAUAGGACGUUGGUUCUAUUUUGUUGGUCUAGGACCACCGUAAUGAUUAAUAGGGAUAGUUGGG